rnacentral:rRNA from 1 species
AUGCCUGGGGCUAAUCGACUUACCAUGGCUGUUGCUGGGAACAAAACACUUGGUUUACAUCGACACCACAGCUCAGUAGUCAGUUUAAUAACAACACCCCCUUCCUCUCCCUCCUCCUCCAAGCUGCUGAUGUUCAGGAACUUUGUGGAUCGCAAUGAGCUCAAAGAGUUGUUCCUCCAUGGGCGACAAUACACUUGGAGCAAUGAGCGUGAGACGCCAACGCUGACUAGGAUUGAUAAAGCCCUGGUGUCGAUCAGAUUGAGUAAGACUGAUGCUCGGCCUGGCUUCGCUGGAGAGGACGAUUGCUCGACAGCGUUCGAGAAUGAGGUGGCUUCAGGAAGGGGAUGCUACAUCUAA